AAAAAGAUAGCCCAGGCAAAAGACAUAAUGGCUGAAUAGCAAAACAGAUACUAUUGAAAAGGUCCUUUUAACAAUCAUUUUGUCGAAUGGAUCUUGCUACACAGGAUUCCUGGUUUUCAUCAGAAUUUUGACUAGUACUUGCUCACUGAGGGGUAUUUCCUGUUAUUUCUCAGUGGUCAUGCUCUGUCAAAAUACGUCCAUCUAAUUGCCUACAUUUGAACCCGGAAAUAUUUUAUUCAGAAAAUGCUAUGGAUCUUCAACCCCCUUAUGGUAUUUUAAACAGAAGUUCAUCAGAACUGAUAAAAAGUUUGUCUCUUAGACCAAACAUUUCUGAAAUAGCACAGGAUUUUCCUUAAGCGGCAGUUGCAUCUUUUCUUGGUUGCGUGAUGAAAGAAAUGCUGUUGUCUUGUUGUUAAAGUUUAUAGAUGUUUUUGUUGCCUGCUCCAGUUGCCUCAGAUGUUCUUUUACCUUUUCCCCUUCCAGCCUGUAUUACUGUAAGACCUUUAUAGAAGUUUCUCUUCUUUUACAAGCUAGUUACAUGGUUACCAUUUAGUCACCCAAGUUUUCCACCAGCUCUGUUAAUAAAGACAUUUGGCCUACAUGACACUUUGAAAACUUAGCAUGUUUUUCUCUUCCAAGCAGUCACUUUACUGUGAUUUUUUUAUUUACACUGCAUGUUAAUCUCUCUCAAGCCUGUUUACUGAAAUGUUCAUUAUUAUCAUCCUUUUCCUCCCCCUCUCAUAAAUUCUUUUUAUGCUUCCACUUUGUCAGGCAGGACUUUUUUUCCCCCUCUUCUAGGCAGCAUUAUUUUCUGCUGGAGUAUUAGUUGAAGGGCAUUAGCUUUGAUGACUUUGGUGGGGCAUUCACAAAGGCUGUCUUUAGUCUUGUGGGAAUACUGACUGUGUUUCCUGCCUGGCUAAUGGAAAAUGAUUGGGGUUUCUAGGGCAAUUCUGAAUUUCGAAGUUAGGCUUUUUUUUCUUUUCUGAAUUUCCCUCCAGAGAAAGCCACAGCUUUUGCAGAUGGUGCCAGCUGCAGCAUCCCUUCUGCUGCUCUUGCAAUGCUUUAAGUAAAGGGCAGAAGCUCCUUUCUGAUUCUUGUAGUUGCAGCAAGGCUGGAUUUAAUGGCAGCUGGUGAAGAGCUGCAUCUCCCUGCCUAUGGUGGCUGGAUAUAUCAGGAGAGGAGAAGUAAGAUGAAUGAUUGAGAAUUAUGCAGCCUUGUUAGGUUGCAGGUCCUGUUUAUGUUGGCUUAAACUGUGUACACUUGAUACAAAAUACACCAUACAAGUGUUGCAGUGCUUGAGUUGUUUCUGUUUUCAGUGACUGCUCCAAAUCAGAGAACCCAAAGAGUUUAGCUGGUAUUUUCUCAGGGUGCCCCUCAUGUAACGGGGCUGCAAAUACUUGGUGGCUGGUGUCAUUGGCUUCAUAAUAUAGUCAUCAAUUUUCAUUAUAGUUCUGAAAUCUGUCCUGCUUUGCCAUGUAGAAAACUAUUUCUGUCUUACCUGAAUUAAACAGACUUUUGAAGCUGGUAUGUGGCUAAAAUAUUGUGUGGUGCUAUUACAAACUUCUCCCUAAUGAAUUCAUUUUAACUUGGGAAAUUUUGUUCUUGUGGUAUGUCUCCAUCUUUGUUCUGGUUCUGGAAAAAGUUGAGACUUCUAUGGAGACAAAGCUACCUUUGAGACCUUGGAAGCCUUACUCCUAAGAGUCUGCUUGAUUUUAUUAGUGUGUAUGCAGAAGGCCUGGUCAAAUGUAACAGAGAAGGAGCAGUUAACUUUCUCAGCAACUGAAGGAUGUGAAGAUUUCCCAGCUGUAGAUAAACUCAGUUUCUGGAGCAGAGGGCAGUGGAAAAAGAUGAUAACAAACAAUGGAGUGAAUACACAUGAUCAACUCCUGCAGUGUUAAAUUGACCUAAAAAUAAAUGAUGCAAACUUUGA